rnacentral:tRNA from 1 species
AUGUUGUUAGUAUAAUUUAUUAUGCUACUUUUCCAAAGUAGCGAUCUAUGUUUAGACAACAUA